rnacentral:tRNA from 1 species
GCGGGGGUUGCCGAGCGGCCAAAGGCGCGGGACUUAAGAUCCUGUCCUCAGCGGUUCAUGGGUUCGAAUCCCUUCCCCCGCACCA